rnacentral:tRNA from 1 species
GGGAGCGUAGCAUAAAGGCAAUGCACCAGGUUCCAACCCUGCAUCCUGUCGAAAGGAUAGAUGCCUGUUCAAAUCGGGCCGCUCCUG